AACGCACGAGACCUGCGGACCUGCGGAGGGAUCAUUACCGAAUAAGCAGGGGGGGGGGCCUGUGCCGUUCGUUGAACGUGCACGGCCUGCCUCUCUCUCCUUCUCUCACACACACCCGUGCACGGAAGGGGAAGGGGGGUUUCCUCCUCCUUCCCCCCAUAAAAGAAAACGCCUUUUUGAAACUGAGAGCCACAAACGUGUGCAACCUUUGACAACUUUUAACAAUGGAUCUCUAGAUCG
rnacentral:misc_RNA from 1 species